GCGGGUAUGGCGGAAUUGGUAGACGCGCGCGUUUACCAAAGCAUUCGGGCUCCGAGUGCUUUAUAAGCGUGUGAGGUAACCCCUCGUGUGAGUUCAAGUCUCACUACCCGCACCA
rnacentral:tRNA from 1 species